rnacentral:rRNA from 1 species
AUGUAUCAGCUGGAGAACAUGGACGACUCCAGCUUGUUCAUGCAGUGGGCCGUGGACACGCUGCAGCACGACCACCCGCCGCCGGUCGCCGCCGGCGACCAUGGCUGUACCUUCCCGUCACUCCAAGAGCUCCGCCGCUCGUCAUUGCAGCACGGCACGGCCCCGGCGGGAAUGGCGGUACAAGAUGGCCACCGUCACCAAGCCGCCGAUAGCUGGAGCUCCGGCGAAAGCGCCGGCGGCGGCCAUGAAAACACGUCUGCCUCGCCCACGGUCGUGGAGAACGACGUCUGGUCGUCCAACUCGGCCAAGUGCGCAACGACCUGCAGCGUCGGCAGCAGCAACAACCACCUGCCCAUGAGCUGGAACUUCACCUCGGCCCUGGCGCAGCCGAGCAACGAGGCCGCCGCUCCUCCCUCUGGAGCGCACGACGGCCCCGGCAUGACGGAGCAGGCCCACGUGUCGCCGCCGUCGAGGAGAGCCGCCGCCAGGACCGGGCACGCGCCGUACGCGCAGGACCACAUCAUGGCGGAGCGGAAGCGCCGGGAGAAGAUCAACCGGCGGUUCAUCGAGCUCUCCACCGUCAUCCCCGGCCUCAAGAAGAUGGACAAGGCGACGAUCCUGUCGGACGCCGUCAAGUACGUCAGGGAGCAGCAGGAGAAGCUCAAGGCGCUCGAGGACCGCAGCCGCAGGAGCGUCGGCGUCGAGUCGGUGGUGCUCGUCAAGAAGAAGCCGUGCACCGCCGUGCCGGAAGACGACUGCCCCUCACCAUCUGCAGGGGCGGUAGCUGGAAGCACGACGACGAUGACGACGACGACCGGGAGCGGGCUGCCGGAGAUCGAGGCGAGGAUCUCGGAGAGCAACGUGAUGGUGAGGGUCCAUUGCGAGGACGGCAAGGGGGUGCUUGUCAGGUUGCUCGCCCAGGUGGAGGGGCUACACCUGAGCAUCACGCACGCCAAUGCCGUCCCGUUCCCGGCUUGCACUCUCAUCAUAACCGUCAUGGCAAAGGUGGACGACGGCUUCAGCGUCACGGCGGAGGACAUUGUUGCCAAGAUAGAGGCGGUGUUGGCUGCACCCACGGUCAUAGCAGGGCCGGGAUAA